GAAGAACAGGUGCCUACUUCCUCCCGUGCUCUGUGGCCGGUGUCCUGAGCUUGCUGACCCAACCUGCAGGUUACUAUGGCCCAGGGUGUGUGGACGCCUGCCUCUUGAAUCCCUGUCAGAACCAGGGGUCAUGCCGCCACCUCCCAGGAGCCCCCCAUGGCUAUACCUGCGAUUGUGUGGGUGGCUAUUUUGGGCACCACUGUGAGCACAGGAUGGACCAACAGUGUCCUCGGGGCUGGUGGGGGAGCCCAAGCUGUGGCCCCUGCAACUGUGACGUUCACAAGGGCUUUGACCCCAACUGUAAUAAGACAAACGGGCAGUGUCACUGCAAGGAGUUCCACUACCGACCACGGGGCAGCGACUCAUGCCUCCCAUGUGACUGCUACCCUGUGGGCUCCACCUCACGUUCAUGCGCACCCCACAGUGGGCAGUGCCCCUGUCGCCCAGGAGCCC
rnacentral:lncRNA from 1 species